rnacentral:rRNA from 1 species
AUGAACGCUAGCGACAGGCUUAACACAUGCAAGUCGAGGGGCAGCACAGGUAGCAAUACCGGGUGGCGACCGGCGCACGGGUGAGUAACGCGUAUGCAACUUACCUAUCAGAGGGGGAUAACCCGGCGAAAGUCGGACUAAUACCGCAUGAAGCAGGGGUCCCGCAUGGGGAUAUUUGCUAAAGAUUCAUCGCUGAUAGAUAGGCAUGCGUUCCAUUAGGCAGUUGGCGGGGUAACGGCCCACCAAACCGACGAUGGAUAGGGGUUCUGAGAGGAAGGUCCCCCACAUUGGUACUGAGACACGGACCAAACUCCUACGGGAGGCAGCAGUGAGGAAUAUUGGUCAAUGGGCGUAAGCCUGAACCAGUCAAGUCGCGUGAGGGAUGAAGGUUCUAUGGAUCGUAAACCUCUUUUAUAAGGGAAUAAAGUGCGGGACGUGUCCCGUUUUGUAUGUACCUUAUGAAUAAGGAUCGGCUAACUCCGUGCCAGCAGCCGCGGUAAUACGGAGGAUCCGAGCGUUAUCCGGAUUUAUUGGGUUUAAAGGGUGCGUAGGCGGCCUUUUAAGUCAGCGGUGAAAGUCUGUGGCUCAACCAUAGAAUUGCCGUUGAAACUGGGGGGCUUGAGUAUGUUUGAGGCAGGCGGAAUGCGUGGUGUAGCGGUGAAAUGCUUAGAUAUCACGCAGAACCCCGAUUGCGAAGGCAGCCUGCCAAGCCAUGACUGACGCUGAUGCACGAAAGCGUGGGGAUCAAACAGGAUUAGAUACCCUGGUAGUCCACGCAGUAAACGAUGAUCACUAGCUGUUUGCGAUACAGUGUAAGCGGCACAGCGAAAGCGUUAAGUGAUCCACCUGGGGAGUACGCCGGCAACGGUGAAACUCAAAGGAAUUGACGGGGGCCCGCACAAGCGGAGGAACAUGUGGUUUAAUUCGAUGAUACGCGAGGAACCUUACCCGGGUUUGAACGCAUUUCGACCGCUCUGGAAACAGAGCCUCUAGCAAUAGCGAUUUGCGAGGUGCUGCAUGGUUGUCGUCAGCUCGUGCCGUGAGGUGUCGGCUUAAGUGCCAUAACGAGCGCAACCCUUGCCACUAGUUACUAACAGGUGAUGCUGAGGACUCUGGUGGGACUGCCAGCGUAAGCUGCGAGGAAGGCGGGGAUGACGUCAAAUCAGCACGGCCCUUACAUCCGGGGCGACACACGUGUUACAAUGGCGUGGACAAAGGGAAGCCACCUGGCGACAGGGAGCGAAUCCCCAAACCACGUCUCAGUUCGGAUCGGAGUCUGCAACCCGACUCCGUGAAGCUGGAUUCGCUAGUAAUCGCGCAUCAGCCAUGGCGCGGUGAAUACGUUCCCGGGCCUUGUACACACCGCCCGUCAAGCCAUGGGAGCCGGGGGUACCUGAAGUCCGUAACCGCGAGGAUCGGCCUAGGGUAAAACUGGUGACUGGGGCU